CUUAUUUUAACCAACUAAGUUUCUAAGUAGAAAUGUUGCAAACAUUUUUGAUAUCAGCAAAAUAAACAAAUGAAGUAUAUAAAAUAAAAAUUCAAGAAAAUGAAUGGGGAAAAUAUUCUUACCUGUCAGGCACUAUUGUUAUAUUUUAAGUAUAAAAAAUUUUGUAACCUGGUCCCAGUCCCUGAACUCUGUGAUAAUUCACUGUGGUAAAAAAACAGCAGCAAAACAAGGAAAGCAUUUAUAAGACAGAAGCAGCUAAUGCGGUAUUAAAAAUGAAUAGUCAUAAAGACCUGAAAACAGAAAACUGUUCACAUAAGUGAUUGAGUCACCUAAAGUGAGAUGUGUUUGAGGCAAUUCCUCUGGGGCACUCUAAAUUCCUUCAAAUAUAUGUAACAUUUAAAUAUUCCAUUAACUCUCUAAAUAGCUGGUUCCUAUUUCCCAAGACUUAAUAAAGCUUUUUGUGAUGACUUUCAAAUUUUGCACACUGGAUUCAUCUUGUAUUGAAGUUGGGCUCCAACACAUUGAAUUCCAUCACACUUAUCAUAAUUGCUUCUUUUAAUAAAUUUCUAGGAGCUCCUUUUUUAAUUCUCUUCAUAGACUAAAGAGUAUGCGUCACUCUGUAAGUAGAGGCACCCACAUACUAUUCAUUGAUUCAACAAAUUAAUUCAACAAAUAUGUAUUGAGUGCCAACUGUGCUAGGCUUUGAAGCAACAUUUAGGUCCUUAUUCAAGGUAUUAUACAAGGGUUCCCAGAUCUUAGGAAAUGAGCAGAAUUUACUAUCCCAUUAUUUUGCUAUGAUUUCAUUAUGAGUUGUGUGACAUUGAGUAAUUCUUGAUACUAAGCUUUAUUAUCAAUAUAACAACUUGGAGGAGUUGAAUAAGAGUAGUGUUUUUGAAUAAUGGACAGCCAUCUAAUCAAGGGUCAUAUAGUCACUUUAAGGAGAGAUGAUCAGUGUUUUUAAAUAGAAUAGAGUCAAAAAUGGCA
rnacentral:lncRNA from 1 species